UGUAAUGACACCGUUGACUUUUUGUCUAACGUUUGACCAUUCGUCUUAUUAAAAAAAUUAUGUAAUUAUCAUUUAUUUUAUUGUGACUUGAUUCAUCAUCAAAUGUUUUUUAAGCACGACAUAAAUAUUUUCAUAUUUACACAAAAAUUUUGAAUAAAACGAAUGGUCAAAUGUUGAUAAAAAGUCAACGGCGUCAUACAUU
rnacentral:pre_miRNA from 1 species